CACAAGGCCCUUUGUCAAGCUGCUAAAAUAGACGUGGCUGCUGCCAGGUUGGGGAGGUUGCAUGAGGGAUUCUACACAUUCUCAAGCGUUAUGCAUAAUUGCCAGGAGUCCAUACAACAUGGCGUAUUUCCAGCAGACCUUGAGGAAAAUUCAUAACUCAAAAGGGUUUGUUCAGACCACUGUGCUCAUUUGGCUUUCCUCCAAAAGAAUGAGUGACAAAGACUAACACCUUGGAUAACGUCGAAGUAUUUCUCUUCUUUGGCUGUCUUCACUGAGAUGAAGGCUGGAACUGAGAAUAUCUUGAAGGAAGAAAAUAUUGCAGCUAUUCCCUGCUUACCCAACCUUCUCUCAAUGGUUUGGAGACAAAUAUGCCAGCCAGCAUUAUGUCACUGCUGUCCCCCAAAACUGCCUGCAGAGCACGUUUGCUAUUUAACUGACUGCCUCCCACACUUUGCGCAACCCUCCCUGAGAAUCUGUAGGAUCCAUAGGAGCUGGGCAGGACAGUCUUCCUGGAAAGAAGGUCAUGCGGUAACGUGUAAAGAAGUGCACAUAGACUUGAAGAGGUACACUACAGCCAGGCAGUAGAAGAUUCCCCAUUGUCUGUAAAAC